rnacentral:lncRNA from 1 species
UUACAGAUGUGAAAAAAGUCAAUAUCUCUCUGUCUUUUCUCUGGAUCAUUCAUUUACAAAGUUCUUUAAAAGAAGAAAACCGAUCGACCAUUCUCCGCGGAAGAUAGGUAAACAUUUGACGAGCGAAAAAAAACACGUGAGAAAGACCGAAAAACCCAUUCUCCCUAAAUGGUUUACCUAUACUGAAUGGAAGGUUUAUGACAUGGGAAGAUUUUCCAGAAUAUGAGCAAGGGUAAAGGAUUCAUCACUUGCUGGGCUUUCAGGGAGUAAUAGGAGGG